rnacentral:lncRNA from 1 species
CUCGUUUGGGUUGGGCGUCGGCUAAAAGUGCUCGGAGCUUGGAUUAACUCCAGUCGUCAAUCAGGUGUGUAUUUUCUCACUACUCUAGCUGUAGGAUGGCUACUUCGGGCCGCGAUGGCCCGAAAGGGGUCAUGUGGGCCUAAUGGGCCUACGGGCCCAAUUGGAUAAGUUGUUUGAUUGUGUAGUAAAUAUUGGACUAGGCUAGGUGAAUCUCAUAUUUGUGGGUAGAUUUGGGCUAAAAGGGCCACACGAGCGUGUGGGCCCAUUUGGGCCGAGAAUAGGCUUUAGGCCCAUUCGUAUUGUUAUCCCUGUUUAGAAUACUUUAGUUUACCAAAUUAUUGAAAUGCCCUCGAUUUGUAGAAUUACCGUUUUACCCUCGAUUUACAGAAUUAAUGUUUCACCCUCAAUUUACAGAAAUACCGUUUUACCCUCGAUUUAUAGAAUUACCAUUUUACCCUCAAUUUACAAAAUUAUCGUUUUACCCUCGAUUGUGAAAUUACUGAAAUACCCCUGUAGGAUAGAAUUACCAAAAUACCUUUAGUUUGUAAAAUUACCAAAAUACCACUGGUUUGUGAAAUUAUUGCAAUACCCUCAAUUUGUAAAAUUACCAAAAUACCCCUGAUUUACAAAAUUACAGAAAUACCAUUGACUUUCUAAAAAUUAUAAAAAUACCAUUGGUUUAUAAAAUUACUGAAAUACCCUUAGUUUGUAGAUUUACCAAAACACCCUUGUAGGAUGAAAUGACUAAAAUACCCCUAAUAGGUAAAAAGACCGUAAAGCCCCUGUAGGGUAAAGUGACCAUAAUACCCUUGUAUGGUAAAAUGACGAAUAUGCCCUUAUGUUCCGUAUGACUGAUGUGCUUAGGAUUUACAUAUAUUGAUAUUGGAAUAGUUAAGUUUGAGUGACAGGUGGUGGUUAUCGUAAGUGAUUGAUUAUGGAAACGUUUCAACUUCAACCCGUAACAGGUGUGUACUAACCCUCGUAAUAGCUUAGAUUAAUAUUUGCUGAGAAGUCGAAAUGCUAAAAUACCGGUAUUUCGGGAACUUGUGAUUUUGCCUUUGCUUAAAGUGCGAUAGAUACGAUAUGAUCGGUGGUUGGAUUGAUGGAACAGGUAAGAGCACAAUUUUGUGCACGAUGGUAAGUUGGGCCUCAAUGGGCUGGAAUUAGGCCCACCCAUUUGGGUAAAAUUGAUAGAAAAUGGAAUUUGGAAAAGUUGCAUGAUAACACGGUUAGUACUGUUGUAAAAUUUGGAUUAAGUAGGCUUAGUAGGCUAAAUCGGCAUUCGUAGGGCCCAUUAGAGGUUUUGGGCCCAAAAGCCCGAGGUUGAUAAAGUGGGUUAAAGAUCAUUGUUUAAACACUCAGAAAUAUUGAUAAUUGUUGAUGAACAUGGAAACCCCUGAUAUUUGGUAAAAUUAUGAAAUUACCCUUAUAUUAUGAAAAUGACUGUUUUGCCCCUAGGUAAAAAUGACCAUUAUACCCUAGGGUUUAAUUAUAAAUUUGAUACGUGGGAUAUGAUAUACAUGAUUGAUAUGAUAUGCACAUGAUAUGUAUAAAAUGCACAUGAUAUGUAUGAAAUGCACAUGAUGUAUUCAUAAAUGCAUUGGGUUGGGUUUUUAUAUGGAUGGAGGAAGUGCAAAAGGGCUUAUGCCCUAGUUUAUUGAAAAGGGCUUAUGCCCCAGUUUACCGAAAAUGGCUUAUGCCCCAGUUUAUUGAAAAGGGCUUAUGCCCCAGUUUACCGAAAAGGGCUUAUGCCCCAGUUUAUUGAAAAGGGCUUUGCCCCAGUUUACCGAAGAGGACUUUGCCCCAGUUAUUAAAGAGGCUAGGCCUCCAGAUAUAUGAUAAAGCAGCUACGCUGCCAGUGGUGUGUUGGAUGGGUGGGUUGAGUUAUUCCCCACAUGGUGUGUUGGUUGGUACGGGUGGAGAGUAGCGGAUGGUGGGUUGAGUAGUCUCCCCAAAUGGGCUUGCAUACAUCCCUUGACAUUACAUGUGAUAUUGAAAUGGGCCUAAGGGCCAUACCGUUUACAGUAAAGGCUUCAGCCCAAUGAUAUGAUUUAUGAAAACGCUUCGGCCCAGUGAAAUUAUUUAUGAAAAGGCUUCGGCCUAGUGAUAUGAUUUAUGAAAAGGCUUCGGCCCAAUGAUAUGAUUUAUGAAAAGGCUUUGGCCCAGUAACCGUUAAACGAAAGGCUUCGGCCCAGUAUAUGUCAAGACUAAAUAGGGCUUUGGCCCAGAUUGUACUGAUACUGUGUUUUCACUGUUUGUAUGUUAUUGGGAUUACACACUGAGUUUUUGUAAACUCACCCCGUUUCUAACUGUGCAGGUAAUCCCUAAGCUUAGAUAGUUUGGAGCUGCGAGGGACUCGGAGAUGGCCACACUACUGUUUCUGUUUCUUUUAAUUGCAAUAAGUACCCGAUUUAUUUCUUUAUAAGUUUUAUCUUAUUAAUAUUAUUAUUUGGUUUUGGGUUGUAAUAAGGCCAUUU